rnacentral:rRNA from 1 species
GUCCACGCUGUAAACGAUGAUCACUGGACGUCGGUCUUACGUUGUAAGAUCGGUGUCGUAGCUAACGCGUUAAGUGAUCCGCCUGGGGAGUACGGUCGCAAGACUAAAACUCAAAGAAAUUGACGGGGUCGCACAAGCGGUGGAACAUGUGGUUUAAUUCGACACUACGCGAGGAACCUUACCUAGGCUUGACAUUCUUUUGUACAGCUACAGAAACGUAGUCUUUCGAGCUUGCUCGAACAAUUGAACAGGUGCUGCAUGGCUGUCGU